rnacentral:rRNA from 1 species
UACGAAGGGGGCUAGCGUUGCUCGGAAUCACUGGGCGUAAAGGGUGCGUAGGCGGGUUUUUAAGUCAGUGGUGAAAUCCUGGAGCUCAACUCCAGAACUGCCUUUGAUACUGAAAGUCUUGAGUAUGGGAGAGGUGAGUGGAACUGCGAGUGUAGAGGUGAAAUUCGUAGAUAUUCGCAAGAACACCAGUGGCGAAGGCGGCUCACUGGCCCAUAACUGACGCUGAGGCACGAAAGCGUGGGGAGCAAACAGG